UCAAUCAUAAUCUUAUAUUAGAAAUUUAGUUCCCCAUCAAAUCACACAUCAUCAUUGAAUAAAAUUUAAACAUUAAAAUCAAAACCAAGAAAAUAAGAGAAUAAAAGAAAUUGUAUAAAAACUCAAGAAUUGUAUUCUUGAACUUCAAAUCUCCCUGAAUUCUGUAAAUUUUUCUUAGCUUCAAUGACUUUGUGGCUUGACUUUCAAAUGUCAAUUUGGUGUUUAUUUUUUCUCUAAGUCCUCCAAAAGGUUGUUUUUAUAGGCUUUGAAAUUAGGCCAAGUUGGGUGAAGAAAGAAGUCAAUUUCAGCAGCAAUUUCCUUAUCAAACUAUGUAAGUUGCAGCUUUGCCAAAUUAAUUAACAAAAAUCGUAAUUGCUCUAGGACUGCUGCAGUAUGUCAACUUUGAAAAGAUUUUUGACUAUUCUACAAGCCUAACUGGGUGAAGUGGUAAACAUAAAAGUUUUAGAUAUUUUUCUUAACUUUCCAGUGGUUCAAGAAUUACAUCAUUUGGAGCUUUGUAGAAAAGGUUAUGGUUAAAAUACCGAAACAUAUGCAUUGGAAGUCUGUACCUUGAAAUUGCUCUCCUUCUUCCAUUAAAAUUCUGUUUUCAUCACACCUACAAAAGCACAAAUAAAUCAAUAACAAUGUAUCUUAUCCAGAUUAACACCAAAUUAGACAUAAAAUUAACCAAGAUUAGAUUGACUCACCUAAAAUAACUAAUUUAAAAUAAUUAAAUAAAACCUACUCAUUUUUAUGCAUUACUACAAAAACAAAGCUAAAUUAUUAUCAAAAUUAAGUCCAAAAAUUAAAUAUUAAAUAAAUCUCACUUAACUACUAGACCUAAGAUUAUAAUAUCCCUCAAUACUUCAUCUGAUUAUUGUCUCUCUCUCUUAACUCAAUUUAAUGGAUUAAAUUGCUAACCUAGAGUCCUAAAUUAUUUACAAGUCUCUAUCGAGUUUCUCAUAAAAAUACAUAUCCCAAUUAAUUUACUAUAUGUCUAUGCAAAUUAAAUUGAAGAAAGAUUCAUUAAGUUUGUGCUCUAAUCCUGGCUACGUAUGGCUUAUAGGUGUAUGUCUACCCUAUAUGCAAAUCAAACCACCUAAUCAACUAAGUGUAUUCGAUCAUACACUAUUUUAUUCAAGGUCUACCUAAAUCUCCUUCGUCAAGGUUUAACCUAGGUUUCCUAUUCAAUCUAAUUGGUGAUAAGGCAAUUAGAAGCAUUAAGAACAGAAUAAAAUAAACAACUUAAAUCUAUCAAACAUAAGUAAAAGAGAGAUAAAUAAUUCAGACUAUAUAUUGAGUUCAAUCAUAAUCUUAGAUUAAAAAUUUAGUUCACAUCAUCAUUGAAUAAAAUAUAAACAUUAAAAUCAAAACCAAGAAAAUCAAAGAAUAAAAGAAAAUAUAUAAAAACUCAAGAAUUGUAUUCUUGAUCUUCAAAUCUCCUUGAAUUCUUCAAAUUCUUCUUAGCUUCAAUGACUCUGUGCCUUGACUCUCAAAUGUCAAUCUGGUGUUUCUUUUUUCUCCUCUCUUAAGUCCUCCGAAAAGUUGUUUUUAUAGGCUUUGAAAUCAGACCAAGUUGGGUGAAGAAAGAAGUCAAUUUCAGCUGUGAUUUCUUUAUCAAACUAUGUAAGUCGCAGCUUUGCCAAAUUAAUUAACAGAAAUCGCAAUUGCUCUAGGACUGCUGCAGUAUGUCAAAUUUGACAAGAUUUUUGACCAUUCUACAAGCCGAACUGGGUAAAGUGGUAAACAUAAAAGUUGUAUAUUUUUCUCUUAUCUUUCUAGUGGUAUAAGAAUCGCUUCAUUUGGAGCUUUGUAAAAAAUGUUAUGGUCAAAAUACCGAAACAUAUGCAUUAGAAGUCUGCACCUCGAAUUUGCUCUCCUUCUUCCAUUAAAAUUCUUUUUUCAUCACACCUACAAAAGCACAAAUAAAUCAAUAACAACGUAUCUUAUCCACAUUAACAUCAAAUUAAACAUAAAAUUAACCAAGAU
rnacentral:lncRNA from 1 species